GUGUGAUGUGUAUGUAUGCAUGUGCAUGUGUGCCUGCCUCCACAAACACAGAUGCAUGUGCCCUUACAUGUGUG
rnacentral:miRNA from 14 species